ensembl:rRNA 5S_rRNA 5S ribosomal RNA
CCCAGCAGCCAUACAACCUCAGGCUGUGAUCUUGUCAGAUCUCACAAACUAAGCAGGUUGGCAUUGGCUAGAUCUCCAAGGAAAACCCAGGAUACUGCUUGAAACGGUGCUGGAG